GAAAUAAUAAUUUAAAGUCAAAUCUGCUCCMUGAAAUUAUUUAAAUAGCUGCAGUAUCCUGACUGUACAAAGGUAGCAUAAUCAAUAGUUUUUUAAUUGAAAGCUGGAAUGAAGGAUUCGAUAAGGUAAAUAUUGUCUCAAAUUUAAUAAAAUUAUAAUUUUUUUUUUAGUAAAAAUACUAAAAUAAAUUUAAAAGACGAGAAGACCCUAUAGAUUUUUAUAAUUUUAUAUUUAAUUAAUUUAAAUAAAAAGUUGUAUUUAAGUAUAAAAUUAUUUGGUUGGGGAAAUUAUUAAAUUUGAUAAAUUUUAAUUUAUUUAGGACAAAAAUUAUUGGAUUUUUGAUUUAAAAUUUUUAAUUAUAAGAAUAAACUACCUUAGGGAUAACAGCGUAAUUUUUUUGGAGAGAUCAUAUUAAUAAGAAAGUUUGCGACCUCGAUGUUGAAUUAAGAUAAAAUUUUAAUGAARAUGUUAAAAAUUUUUGG
rnacentral:rRNA from 1 species